AAGUCGUAACAAGGUAACCGUAGGUGAACCUGCGGUUGGAUCAUUACUGAAUUUGUGCUGCUGGCUGGGAACGGGCAACCAAGUACCGCCUGGAGCAAAUUUACACCUGUGCACUUGAAUGUCUUUUGGGAGCUUUUCGGGGCUCCCAGCAUUGAUAAACACCUAUUGACCACGUCUGAACAUUUAUUUAAAUAUAAACAACUUUUGACAACGGAUCUCUAGGCUCUCG
rnacentral:misc_RNA from 1 species